rnacentral:rRNA from 1 species
CACGUAGGGUGCGAGCGUUGUCCGGAAUUAUUGGGCGUAAAGAGUUCGUAGGCGGUGUGUCGCGUCGGCCGUGAAAACCUGCAGCUUAACUGUGGGCUUGCGGUCGAUACGGGCAUCACUGGAGUUCGGCAGGGGAGACUGGAAUUCCUGGUGUAGCGGUGAAAUGCGCAGAUAUCGGAAGGAACAUCAGUGGCGAAGGCGGCUUUCUGGCCAGAUACUGACGCUGAGGCACGAAAGCAUGGGUAGCAAACAGG